rnacentral:rRNA from 1 species
GACGAACGCUGGCGGCGUGCUUAACACAUGCAAGUCGAACGGAAAGGCCCUGCUUUUGUUGGUUGCUCGAUUGGCGAACGGGGGAGUAACACAUGAGUAACCCGCCCUUGACUGUGGGAUAACUUCUGGAGACUCGGGCUAAUACCCGAGAGGAUCUCCUGCUGCAUGUUGGUGGUUGGUAAGUGUCGGCGGUUCGGGCUGGUCUCGCUGCUUAUCAGCUUGUUGGUGAGGUAGUGGCUUACCAAGGCUUUGACGGGUAGGCGGCAUGAGAGGGUGAACGGGGACCUUGCGCCUGAGAUAGGGCGCAGAAGCCAACGGGCGGCAGCAGUCGAGAACAUUGCAGAAUGACGCGACGUGUGAUGCAGCAAUGUUGCGAGCGGGAUGACCGCUUACGAGUUGUAAACAGAUUUCGCAUGUGACGAAGCGUGCGUGACGGUAAUGAGUAAAGAAGCCACGGCUAACUACGUG